AACUGCGUAAUGUUAACUAGUGGGAGUUGCCUGCGCCCAAAAUGUUGCGCUGCCGCUUUAAGAAUUGCGCGGUCACGUAGGAGUUGGCAGCGCGGGGUUUGGAGUUAAUGCGGAAGUGGAACAAGGAAAGAAAGCGCGAAUACACGCAGUUGAGAGGAGCGGUGCUGGAAGACAGUUGUCAAUCAGUACACUGAGAAGCCUCGCGUUGAAACAAAAUACAGUGUAAUACAGUGAUGGUGUUCGACAUGCGCCCAAGGAUGACCGCGCUACGCAAUAAUUGAAACGGCGGUGCAGCAGGGGAGAGUUUGUUGCUUGUCGUGUGCGUACGGGCGAGCGCGGCACAUUAGAAGUGUGGUAGGUGAAUCGUUCAAGUGAUGUGCACUAUUUUUGUUAGCUUUGGGGAUCUCUAGUGGAGUGGUGAGUGACU